rnacentral:rRNA from 1 species
AACGAACGCUGGCGGCAUGCCUAACACAUGCAAGUCGAACGAGACCUUCGGGUCUUGUGGCGCACGGCUGCGUAACGCGUGGGGACCUGCCCUUGGGUUCGGAAUAACUCCCCGAAAGGGGUGCUAAUACCGGAUAAUGUCUUCGGACCAAAGAUUUAUCGCCUUUGGAUGGGCCCGCGUUGGAUUAGCUAGUUGGUAGGGUAAAAGCCUACCAAGGCGACGAUCCAUAGCUGGUCUGAGAGGCUGAUCAGCCACACUGGGACUGAGACACGGCCCAGACUCCUACGGGAGGCAGCAGUGGGGAAUAUUGGACAAGGGGCGAAAGCCUGAUCCAGCAAUGCCGCGUGAGUGAUGAAGGCCUUAGGGUUGUAAAGCUCUUUUACCCGGGAUGAUAAUGACAGUACCGGGAGAAUAAGCUCCGGCUAACUCCGUG